AGAGUUUGAUCCUGGCUCAGGAUGAACGCUAGCUACAGGCUUAACACAUGCAAGUCGAGGGGCAGCAUGGUCUUAGCUUGCUAAGGCCGAUGGCGACCGGCGCACGGGUGAGUAACACGUAUCCAACCUGCCGUCUACUCUUGGACAGCCUUCUGAAAGGAAGAUUAAUACAAGAUGGCAUCAUGAGUCCACAUGUUCACAUGAUUAAAGGUAUUCCGGUAGACGAUGGGGAUGCGUUCCAUUAGAUAGUAGGCGGGGUAACGGCCCACCUAGUCUUCGAUGGAUAGGGGUUCUGAGAGGAAGGUCCCCCACAUUGGAACUGAGACACGGUCCAAACUCCUACGGGAGGCAGCAGUGAGGAAUAUUGGUCAAUGGGCGCAGGCCUGAACCAGCCAAGUAGCGUGAAGGAUGACUGCCCUAUGGGUUGUAAACUUCUUUUAUAAAGGAAUAAAGUCGGGUAUGCAUACCCGUUUGCAUGUACUUUAUGAAUAAGGAUCGGCUAACUCCGUGCCAGCAGCCGCGGUAAUACGGAGGAUUCGAGCGUUAUCCGGAUUUAUUGGGUUUAAAGGGAGCGUAGAUGGAUGUUUAAGUCAGUUGUGAAAGUUUGCGGCUCAACCGUAAAAUUGCAGUUGAUACUGGAUAUCUUGAGUGCAGUUGAGGCAGGCGGAAUUCGUGGUGUAGCGGUGAAAUGCUUAGAUAUCACGAAGAACUCCGAUUGCGAAGGCAGCCUGCUAAGCUGCAACUGACAUUGAGGCUCGAAAGUGUGGGUAUCAAACAGGAUUAGAUACCCUGGUAGUCCACACGGUAAACGAUGAAUACUCGCUGUUUGCGAUAUACGGCAAGCGGCCAAGCGAAAGCGUUAAGUAUUCCACCUGGGGAGUACGCCGGCAACGGUGAAACUCAAAGGAAUUGACGGGGGCCCGCACAAGCGGAGGAACAUGUGGUUUAAUUCGAUGAUACGCGAGGAACCUUACCCGGGCUUAAAUUGCAGAUGAAUUACGGUGAAAGCCGUAAGCCGCAAGGCAUCUGUGAAGGUGCUGCAUGGUUGUCGUCAGCUCGUGCCGUGAGGUGUCGGCUUAAGUGCCAUAACGAGCGCAACCCUUGUUGUCAGUUACUAACAGGUUCUGCUGAGGACUCUGACAAGACUGCCAUCGUAAGAUGUGAGGAAGGUGGGGAUGACGUCAAAUCAGCACGGCCCUUACGUCCGGGGCUACACACGUGUUACAAUGGGGGGUACAGAGGGCCGCUACCACGCGAGUGGAUGCCAAUCCCAAAAACCUCUCUCAGUUCGGACUGGAGUCUGCAACCCGACUCCACGAAGCUGGAUUCGCUAGUAAUCGCGCAUCAGCCACGGCGCGGUGAAUACGUUCCCGGGCCUUGCACACACCGCCCGUCA
rnacentral:rRNA from 1 species